GCCAGGCAUGGUGGCGCAUGCCUGUAAUCCCAGCUACCCGGGAGGCUGAGGCAGGAGAAUCGCUUGAACCUGGGAGGCAGAGGUUGCAGUGAGCCAAGACUGCACCACUGCACUCCAGCCUGGGUGAUGGAGCGAGCCUCUGUCUCAA
rnacentral:SRP_RNA from 2 species